rnacentral:sRNA from 1 species
UAUCACGUGGUUGAUGAGCCGUAGUGA